ACCUCCUGCAGGACUGAGCAGUGACAGAAGGACUGCUGCUCUUGAGUUCAUUCAAACCAAGAAGGAGGAACCAUUUGGUUAAAGGAGCAGGUCCGGACCGUGGGAGAUGUAUCGUAUUUGACCCUCGUGACAACUUUGUGAAAGAAAGCAUUGUUAGCUGCAAUUUUGCAGGUGAGGAAAGAGCCAGAGGUUAAGAAGCUUCCAGAGGGUCACGCAGGCCCAGUUCCGGCUGUCUUGAUACUUCACAGGCCUUUCCACUGAACACGCCCAGGACUGAACUCAUCUACGGCCUCUCUGGGCCCAGCAAACCUAGCCCUCGGCUGGAUUUCUGAUCUCCAAGCCUGAACUUGAAACCCACCUGCGGUAGACAGUGUUGGUUGGCUGACCCAACACCCCUUGUCUUUUUCCAGCCAUCAUAUUCCACUCUUUGCUCAUGCUGAGCUUACUGUCCAUUACAGGCCCAGUCACUCUCCUCCCUCCAGGAGCGCAGAAAACAGAGGAGGCUGGUUCUUGCCAUGAACUGCUGCGGGGCCAGGAGAGGAUGGUGUGACCCUGGCCCCGCGGGCUCCACUGGCCCUCCCGGCCCCGUGUCCUCCUGGGGACGAUGCCGCGAUGCUGGGCGCGCUUUCCGUGACCGACCGCGUGCUUUCCCUUCCUUCCGCGUUAAAAUCUCUGCAGGUCAUCCUGAGGCCAGAGACUCUCCUUCCCCCAGGUGCCUCUUCGUGGCUGGGCUCUCCCUGGUGACAGGGGCAGAGGCGUCUUGCUAACUCCCACACCAGCCAUCCACAAGUCUGGUAAUUUUCACAGGAGACCUAGUGGUCUCAGCCCACUUUUCAGCAAGAUUUAAUAGCACAAGACUGUUGCGAGGCCUCGAGCUACCGGGAAGAGAAGUGUUUGCAAAUCUGCGGUUUGGAGAAAGCUGCGCUCAAAACAACAAUUCAGAUCUUAAUUUACAGCCUGCGGAUUUGCAGGGAAGAGGAUUU